UCUUUCAUAAAAUCUAGUGGUUAGGCCACAGUGCUCUCACCAUUGUGGCCUAGGUUCGAGUCCCAGCUAGGGAA